rnacentral:rRNA from 1 species
GUUGCUCCGAGACGGCUUCUCGCUAUCACUUCUGGAUGGACCUGCGGUGCAUUACCUUGUUGGUGGGGUAACGGCCUACCAAGGUGAUGAUGCAUAGCCGAGUUGAGAGACUGAUCGGCCACAAUGGGACUGAGACACGGCCCAUACUCCUACGGGAGGCAGCAGUAAGGAAUCUUCCACAAUGGGCGCAAGCCUGAUGGAGCAACACCGCGUGAGUGAAGAAGGGUUUCGGCUCGUAAAGCUCUGUUGUUAAAGAAGAACACGUAUGAGAGUAACUGUUCAUACGUUGACGGUAUUUAACCAGAAAGUCACGGCUAACUACGUGCCACCAGCCGCGGUAAUACGUAGGUGGCAAGCGUUAUCCGGAUUUAAUUGGGCGUAAAAGAGAGUGCAGGCGGUUUUCUAAAGUCUGAUGUGAAAGCCUUCGGCUUAACCGGAGAAAGUGCAUCGGAAACUGGAUAACUUGAGUGCAGAAGAGGGUAGUGGAACUCCAUGUGUAGCGGUGGAAAUGCGUAGAUAUAUGGAAGAACACCCAGUGGCGAAGGCGGCUACCUGGUCUGCAACUGACGCUGAGACUCGAAAGCAUGGGUAGCGAACAGGAUUAGAUACCCUGGUAGUCCAUGCCGUAAACGAUGAGUGCUAGGUGUUGGAGGGUUUUCCGCCCUUCAGUGCCGGAGCUAACGCAUUAAGCACUCCGCCUGGGGAGUACGACCGCAAGGUUGAAACUCAAAGGAAUUGACGGGGGCCCGCACAAGCGGUGGAGCAUGUGGUUUAAUUCGAAGCUACGCGAAGAACCUUACCAGGUCUUGACAUCUUGCGCCAACCCUAGAGAUAGGGCGUUUCCUUCGGGAACGCAAUGACAGGUGGUGCAUGGUCGUCGUCAGCUCGUGUCGUGAGAUGUUGGGUUAAGUCCCGCAACGAGCGCAACCCUUGUUACUAGUUGCCAGCAUUAAGUUGGGCACUCUAGUGAGACUGCCGGUGACAAACCGGAGGAAGGUGGGGACGACGUCAGAUCAUCAUGCCCCUUAUGACCUGGGCUACACACGUGUUACAAUGGACGGUACAACGAGUCGCGAACUCGCGAGGGCAAGCAAAUCUCUUAAAACCGUUCUCAUUUGGG